rnacentral:rRNA from 1 species
AAUAAAUGCUAUUGGUAUGCUUAACACAUGCAAGUCGAAUGUUUAUUUUAAUAGACAUGGCGAACGGGUGAGUAACGCGUGAAUUAUCUACCUUUUAAUUCAGAAUAAUUAUUUUUAAUAAAAAUACUGAAUAAUUAAAAUAAAGUUUAAAUAACGUUAAAAGAUGAGUUUGCGUAAGAUUAGGUAGUUGGUAGUUUAAAAGACUACCAAGCCGACUAUCUUUAGCUGGUUUGAAAGAAUGAUCAGCCACAUUGGGACUGAGACACGGCCCAAACUUUUUUAAAGGCAGCAGUGGGGAAUUUUGGACAAUGAGCGAAAGCUUGAUCCAGCAAUACCAAGUGAGUGAAGAAGGCUAAUUAGGUUGUAAAGCUCUUUCAUUAAGGAGGAAAAUGACAGUACUUAAAAAGAAGUUCCGGCUAAUACCCGUG